rnacentral:rRNA from 1 species
GAUCAUGGCUCAGGACGAACGCUGGCGGCGUGCUUAACACAUGCAAGUCGAACGAAGAGCGAUGGAAGCUUGCUUCUAUCAAUCUUAGUGGCGAACGGGUGAGUAACGCGUAAUCAACCUGCCCUUCAGAGGGGGACAACAGUUGGAAACGACUGCUAAUACCGCAUACGAUCUGACCUCGGCAUCGAGGAUGGAUGAAAGGUGGCCUCUAUUUAUAAGCUAUCACUGAAGGG